UACGAAGGGGGCUAGCGUUGCUCGGAUCACUGGGCGUAGAGCGCACGUAGGCGGAUUUCUAAGUCAGGGGUGAAAUCCUGGAGCUCAACUCCAGAACUGCCUUUGAUACUGGGAAUCUUCGAGUCCGGGAGAGGUGAGUGGAACUGCGAGUGUAGAGGUGAAAUUCGUAGAUAUUCGCAAGAACACCAGUGGCGAAGGCGGCUCACUGGCCCGGUACUGACGCUGAGGUGCGAAAGCGUGGGGAGCAAACAGG
rnacentral:rRNA from 1 species